UGUUUGUAUUGGAAUUCAAUUGUGUAAGUCAAUAGCACAGGACUAAUAUCACCGGCGUCGGGUCGCGAAACUUGAAUAAUAGUAGCCUUGGGCAACUCAUCAAAAAUUCGAGUCGGCUCAGCAGUGCUUGGAUGAUGAAACGAGAAAAACGAUGAAGUCAUCGACUGCAACGGAAACGCCGCCGCCGUCUCCGAUUGCAUUUGGACGUACUUCGGUCCGCCUCCCAUCAAUUGCUCCGUCGACGCCAUUAAAUAAAUAAAUAUUACAAAUAUCUAUGGUUUACGUAUAGAUUGAUGAAUUGGGUGAGAGAGAAUUGAGAUCUAAUGGGAUUGCUUAGAGAGAAAAAGACUCUGUGUGUGAGAGAGAGAGAGAGGAGAAGAAACGGAACUCCUGUUCGAUUUUUUAAAGAUCCGUUGAAAGUGAUGGGAAAAUGUAGAUUUGUACGUGUACCUUCUAAAUAGACCGGAUCGUUGGGAUCGAAG
rnacentral:lncRNA from 1 species